UCAACUCUCUCUCUCAGCCUCCCUCCGACUCACCAUCGCUCUCACCCUCAAUCACCAUCGCUCUCACCCUUAAUCCCCCUCACCCUCUCAACCUCACCGACCCUAACUCUCCACCUCGCUCUCACUCGAUCUGAGCGGGUUUUUCUUACUUCAAGCUUUGAUUCAGAUUAUUUCAUUGCUUUUGGCGACGACGUCAUUAUAGUUCAGCAAGGCAAGAAUCCCGGCGACCCCAUCGCUUUCUGAUUCGGAAGACUUACCGUUGCGCCGACCUCCUCGCCUCUUCACGGAGACAGAAACAGUAAAAGCCACCACCAGUUCAACGGUGCUCUGGAUUCGGAAGACUUACCGUUCGAUUUUAAUUCGGAUUCGUUGAUUCAGGACCUUUGUCUUCGACUUUCGCUUCCAAUUCGGUUUCUGAGGGCUUUUGUCUUCGUGUUGCUUAUCAGUCCUAAAGAAGCAACAAGAGACGAGGCAGGUUGCGUUGUUGGCAUAGGAGGCAGACUGGCAGAAUCAACUGGGAUUUAGAGCAGGCCUUCAAUUUGAAGCCUGAUUGCAGUGAGAUUGGGGAUGAUUUCGUUGUUUUUCGAAGACUGAUGAUGGAAUGAUGCUCAGGUAUCUUGAACAAACAACUAAUUUUUUUGGUUCCUGGGCACCAGUAAUCCAAUUGCUCAAAUCAGAUGUGUUCUUAAAGAAGACAUUGAAGUUAAGCAACGAGGACAUCAUUGGCUCUGGAGAGUAUGGGACAAUUUAUAUACUUACACAGGAUGACACCAUGGCCAUUGUUGUGAAAAGAUUGAACUGAGGAAGUGCAGAUAGAGAUCGAAGAUUUGAGAGGGAAAUUGAAGCAAUGGGGGAUAUAAAGCACCGGAACAUCGUGACUCUUAAUGGAUAUUACACUGCUCCACAUUAUAACGUUCUUAUAUACGAACUGGUAGCUUAUGAAGGCUUGGAUGGAGUGCUUCAUGAUCACUAUCCAACAAGCAUUUGGAUUGGCUGUCCAGAUACAAAAUAGCACUAGGUGCUGCAAAGAAG